rnacentral:guide_RNA from 1 species
UCAAUGGGUAAAUGAGCAGUGAUAUAAUU